ensembl:lncRNA
GCUUAAAGCCAGUAACUGCACAGCAGCGUCACUGAACGGGACCGAGGGAGGGAGGUUAAUUAUAACAGAGAGAGUCACUAUUUAUUUUUUGUAGUAGUGUCAUAUGAAUGUAUCUUGUUUUUCAAAUGGUUGCCUUUUUAUAUUAUUUAUGCCUUGAAAUUCCUCCUUUUUCCCCACGCACCAUGAAACUAGCCUGAUUUAUGUGUUUAAAAAAAGAAAAAGAAAGAAAAAAAUAAUAAUAUAAAGAACGACGGGAAAUACGUAGUGUGGUUUCCGUGGAAUAUAACCGGCGGGAGAAGCGCUUCGGGGGAGAGAGGCGAAGSUGUUAACACCCGGACAGAGCAGAGCUCAGCAGCCGUGGGGAGUUUCCACCGGACGACGUCCAUGUUUGCUGGCGCUCCCCAAAAAACAUGGAAAAACAUGGAAAAACGUCUGCUCUCCGGGCGAGCUUUGCUUUGGGCGCCGCUCGGAGUGGCCUCUCCGGUGCCAGUUGCCAAGCCGGAGCAGCGAGCUGGCCUAAAACCACUCAUCUCCUCGCCGUCCCCCUGUGCCGAGCGGCCCACGCAGCAUGAUGCAGCUCUGGCCGGUUGGGGAAGGGCGGAAGCGAAGCUGGCUUGGCCCUCGGGGCGAUCCAGCGCUGCAGGUGCGCCGGGACCCGCUGAGAAAACCGCCUCGUACGUCCCAAAAAGCCUCUGGGCGGUCGCGAUGAACAGCAAAGCGGUGUCGUAUAUACGGCAUGAAGGUAAUAUAUAAUAUAUAUUUUAUAAAUAGAGCCCUUAAUGAGGAUUUAUUAGGUCGGUGCAGUUUGCUACGCGAGAGUUGACRCUGGCACCGGCUCCGCGGGGUGAGAGCCGGGCUGGCAGGAGGCGAUUUGAUGCGGGACGUUGCGGCCAGAGGCCUCGACUGCUGAGACGGCAUCAAAUUUGGGGAUUUCUGGGCGAGGACAAACUGUUGUCAUCUGCCGCGUUGGCAGCUUCUCUGCGUGGGCUGCUUUAUUUACAUGGAGCGACACUGUUUUAAGUGUGUGUGGGUUUUUUCCCCCCCUUCUAAUUGUAUUUUAAUUAUAAAAAUACAUGUUUUGCUUUUCUUACUGUUAUUUAUCUUUUUUUCUUUAGGGGYUGCGUGUUCUCCCAGCUGUAGGUGCACAAAGCUAAACCUUUCUCGGGCUCGCGCUCCUCGGAUCACCACAUCYGCAGGCUUUGACUGCCACCUACCCRGAGAGGUCGGAAAGCCCCGCUGCUCCGGCCUUACUGAUCUCUCCCGCAUAAACCUGCUCUUUUCCCUUUACCCUCACACAAAUGUGCAAGUUUCUUCCUAAAAAAAGGAGGAAAAAAGCCCACCCUCUCGAAUCCUCCUCCAAAAACGCCCCUGGGCUGCUGAAAGCAGCUCGAAUAGAAAAAUACACUUAGACGUUGUCCUAUUCCUUGGGAAAUUGCAGUUUUUGCAGGGUUUUUUGGGGGGGUUGAUAAUUAAAUGCCUCCCUUGAACCAAAUGCGAGAGCAAACCGCCCCGAAGGCCGGGGGAAGAAAGGAGAUGUUUAUUGGAGUUUCAGGAAUGAUUUUUACAUCGCGUUGACUAAGCUAAGCAUCAAAACGGGCCCCAUCCUGCA